AUUGAACGCUGGCGGCAUGCCUUACACAUGCAAGUCGAACGGCAGCAUGAUCUAGCUUGCUAGAUUGAUGGCGAGUGGCGCACGGGUGAGUAAUACAUCGGAACGUGCCCUGUCGUGGGGGAUAACUAGUCGAAAGAUUAGCUAAUACCGCAUACGACCUGAGGGUGAAAGUGGGGGACCGCAAGGCCUCAUGCUAUAGGAGCGGCCGAUGUCUGAUUAGCUAGUUGGUGAGGUAAAGGCUCACCAAGGCGACGAUCAGUAGCUGGUCUGAGAGGACGAUCAGCCACACUGGGACUGAGACACGGCCCAGACUCCUACGGGAGGCAGCAGUGGGGAAUUUUGGACAAUGGGCGAAAGCCUGAUCCAGCAAUGCCGCGUGUGUGAAGAAGGCCUUCGGGUUGUAAAGCACUUUUGUCCGGAAAGAAAUGGCUCUGGUUAAUACCUGGGGUCGAUGACGGCACCGGAAGAAUAAGGACCGGCUAACUACGUG
rnacentral:rRNA from 1 species